UGGGGGAUAUUGCACAAUGGGCGAAAGCCUGAUGCAGCGACGCCGCGUGGGGGAUGAAGGCCUUCGGGUUGUAAACUUCUUUUGCUCUGAACAAGGCAUGCUAAUGGGUGUGUUGAGUGUAGGGGUUGAUUAGCGCCGGCUAACUACGUGCCAGCAGCCGCGGUAAUACGUAGGGCGCGAGCGUUGUCCGGAAUUAUUGGGCGUAAAGGGCUUGUAGGUGGCUGGUUGCGUCUGUCGUGAAAGCUCAUGGCUUAACUGUGGGUUUGCGGUGGGUACGGGCUGGCUUGAGUGCAGUAGGGGAGGCUGGAAUUCCUGGUGUAGCGGUGGAAUGCGCAGAUAUCAGGAGGAAUACCGGUGGCGAAGGCGGGUCUCUGGGCUGUUACUGACACUGAGGAGCGAAAGCAUCGGGAGCGAACAGG
rnacentral:rRNA from 1 species